CAGGAGUGUUUGCAGGAGCCAUUGAGAAGGUUGGAAGAAAAGAAUAAGAAACUUAUAAAGGAAAAAGCCAGCAUAUUGGAAGGAAGAGAAUUAGUCAUACAACAGGAAAAAAUCUUAAAGGACAUGCAGAUAAAAAUAAACCACUUGCAAAAGCAUCUCAAGCACCCUGAACUAAUUGGG